CUUGUUACGACUUCACCCCAGUCACUGACCCUACCGUGGGCGGCUGCCUCCCUUGCGGGUUAGCGCACCGACUUCAGGUAAAGCCAACUCCCAUGGUGUGACGGGCGGUGUGUACAAGGCCCGGGAACGUAUUCACCGCACCGUGCUGAUCUGCCAUUAAUAACGAUUCCCAGUUCAUGUGCUCCAAUUGCAAAACACAAUCCUAACUGAGACCGCUUUUUGAAAAUUGCGAACGAUUGCUCCUUUGCAUUCCUCUGGCACCGCCAUUGUAACACACUGUGUACCCCACCCUGUAAAGGCCAUGACGAAUUGACGUCAUCCCCACCUUCCUCCGGCUUAUCACCGGCAGUCCCCUUACAGAGCCCAACUGAAUGAUGGCAACUAAGGGCCAGGGUUGCGCUCGUUGCCGGACUUAACCCAACAUCUCACGAUACCAGCUGACGACAUCCAUGCAGCACCUGUCUCCGGU
rnacentral:rRNA from 1 species